rnacentral:lncRNA from 1 species
GUCAAGCAUUCUGGAAGAAUCUUAUUUGCUCAGUCAAGCUCAUAGAAUCCAAUUUGUUUCCAGUUCAAAAACCAGACAUAUAGACAUCUGCUGUGUGACAUUUUUGCCAAUUCCAGAUGUUUUCUGCCUUGCUGCUGUGACUACUUCUCAUUUCCUCAAAGAUCAUCACAGCGAGAGAAGACUGAAAAUUCAGACUGCAUGCCAAGCUCUCUUCCCUAACACCAUGUUCCAGCAUUACCAGUUCAGCUGCUGAGUCCUCUGUAAAAGCAGCUGCACACAUGUCUGCUUGGCCCAGCCUCAAGGAGUUUAGGAAGGAAGACAGCAAGAAUCCAUGAUAUGGCCAUGGUGGAAACCAAGCAAUAUAAUCCCCUAUGCCUGGAGAAAAGAUGGAGGAGAGGGUGCUCUGGGAUGCAACAGGAACACAGGCAAGCUCCACCCUGCCUGGGACAAUUUAUGCUUCCUGAUGGCAUAAGAAGUAUUCCUACUUUUUUUCUGAAUGCUUGGCUGUGCCUAUCUCAGGGCUGAGCUGAUCUCAGUAUAAGCUAACAGAGUGAAUGAAUAAAUAACAUCUUGG